UACGUAGGGUGCGAGCGUUGUCCGGAAUUAUUGGGCGUAAAGAGCUCGUAGGCGGUUUGUCACGUCUGCUGUGAAAUCCCGAGGCUCAACCUCGGGCCUGCAGUGGGUACGGGCAGACUGGAGUGCGGUAGGGGAGAAUGGAAUUCCUGGUGUAGCGGUGGAAUGCGCAGAUAUCAGGAGGAACACCAAUAGCGAAGGCAGCUCGCUGGGACGGUACUGACGCUGAGGCGCGAAAGCUAGGGGAGCAAACGGG
rnacentral:rRNA from 1 species